UACGGAGGGCGCAAGCGUUGUUCGGUAUCACUGGGCGUAAAGCGCGUGUAGGCGGCUUGGUAAGUCGGGUGGGAAAGCCCGGAGCUCAACUCCGGAACUGCAUUCGAAACUACCUCGCUCGAGUCCCGGAGAGGGUGGUGGAAUUCCCGGUGUAGAGGUGAAAUUCGUAGAUAUCGGGAGGAACACCAGUGGCGAAGGCGGUCACCUGGAAGGUGACUGACGCUGAGACGCGAAAGCGUGGGGACCAAACAGG
rnacentral:rRNA from 1 species